rnacentral:rRNA from 1 species
UACGUAGGGACCAAGCGUUGCUCGGAUUUACUGGGCGUAAAGGGCGCGUAGGCGGCGUGGUAAGUCACUUGUGAAAUCUCUGAGCUUAACUCAGAACGGCCAAGUGAUACUGCUGUGCUAGAGUGCAGAAGGGGCAAUCGGAAUUCUUGGUGUAGCGGUGAAAUGCGUAGAUAUCAAGAGGAACACCUGAGGUGAAGACGGGUUGCUGGGCUGACACUGACGCUGAUGCGCGAAAGCUAGGGGAGCAAACGGG